GGAGGUGUAGCUCAGUGGCAGAGUGUUUGACUACAGCUCAAGUGGUCAAUGGCUCAAAUCCAAGUGCCUCAA
rnacentral:tRNA from 1 species